rnacentral:rRNA from 1 species
GGUUUGAUCCUGGCUCAGUUGAACGCUGGCGGGAUGCUUUAUGCAAGUCGAGCAGCAACACGGACUUCGGUCUGGUGGCGAGCGAACAGGUGAGUAAUGUAUCGGAACGUGCCUAGUAGCGAAGUACUUCUACGCGAAAGCGUAUUUAAUACCGCACCGCCAUCAAAGCCAGGAUAGCGGGCCUCGCACUAUUAGAGCGGCUGGUGUAUCGGAUUAGCUAGUUGGUGGGGUAACGGCUCGCAGGCGACGAUCAUGUGUAGCUGGUUUGAGAAGGACGUGCAGCCUGGGGUACAGAGACGGCCCAGACUCCUACCACGGGGAGGCAGCAGUGGGGAAUUUGGACAAUGGAAACCACAGUCCAGCCAUCCCGCGUGUGCGAUGAAGGCCUUCGGGUUGUAAAGCACUUUUGGCGGAAGAAACGGCCUGGGAUAAUACCCCGUGCAACUGACGGUACCUACAGAAUACGCCCACUGGCUAACUACGUGCCAGCAGCCCGCCGGUAAUACGUAAGUUGCAAGCGUUCAUCGGAAUUACUGGAAGCAAAGCGCGCGACGGUUCGGAAAAGAAAGAUCGCUGAGAAAUCCAGAAGCUUAGACUGCAUUUUUAACUACCGAGCUAGAGUGUGUCAGAGGGAGGUGGAAUUCCGCGUGUAACAGUGAAAUGCUGAAUAUGCGGAGGAAGGAACACACGAUGGCGAAGGCAGCUCUGGAUAACGCGGCAGCUCCAUGCACGGCGUGGGGGCAAACAGGAUUAGGCGAUCCCUAAGUAGGUGUUCACGCCUAAACGAUAUUAAACUGGCUGUUUUAGACCUUCUGGGCCCUUUGAUGGCCGCAGCUAACGCAUAAAUUAAGCCGCCUGGAAGAUACGGUCGCAAGAUUAAAACUCAAAGGAAUUGACGGGGACCCGCACCACAAGCGGUGGAUGAUGUGGAUUAAUUCGAUGCAACGCGGUAUACCUACCCUUGACAUGGAAUCCCGAAGAGAUUUGGGAGUGUCGCAAGAGAACCGGAACACUGGUGCUGCAUGGCUGUCGUCAGCUCGUGUCGUGAGUCUUUGGGUUAAGUCCCGCAACGAGCGCAACCCUUGGCAUACGUAUUCAGUUGCUACAAAAGGGGCUCUAAUGAAGUUCGGUGACAAACCAGAAAAUUGGGGAUGACGUCAAGUCCUCAUGGCCCUUAUGGGUAGGGCUUCACACGUCAUACAAUGGUCAGGGACAGAGGGUCGCCAACCCCGCGAGAGGCAAUCCCAGAAACCCGAUCGUAGUCCGGAUCGCAGUCUGCAACUCGACUGCGUGAAGUCGGAAUCGCCCAGUAAUCGCGGAUCGGCAUGUCGCGGUGAAUACGUUCCGGGUCUUGUACACACCGCGUACACCAUGGUGAGGUUUUACAGAAGUAGAUUAGCCUAACCCGUAAGGAGGGCGAUUACCACCAUUAGGAUUCAUGACUGGGGUGAAGUCAGUAACAAGGUAG